GCUACUUCUUAACCAUAAAAUACUUGCACAAAUAGCUAUAUCAAAUAUGAAUUGUGUCUAUAUGAUUUCCAAUGAAAUGGGUACGACUACUAGUGUUAUCUUGAAAUAACGGCGUGGGUUGGUCAUUGUAAAACGUGGCAGGCAAUGCACCUUUUCUCAGUACAGUGUACUAGAUUUUACCCUGUUUGAUAUUCUCUUUACAGCUGCUUGGUGGUUGAUUUCUUCCUCCUGUUGUUCCCUUGAAGAUCUAUUGUCUCAGAGCCGAGGGUCUCCCGGAAACAGCCUCUCUACCCCUCCGGGAUAGGGGUAAGGAGGUUUUCUUACUGCCAUUUUAGCUCAGCUUAAGUUUAUUUUGCCUAAGCCAUUGAGAUAAAGAUGAUUCUCAAGUAUGAUGAGCUCACUUAUUGGGUAUGAAGCUUGAUCUUUAUAUAACUUUAAAUGCCAAUGCAAAUUGGUAGCAGUGAGAAGUGGAAAUCUAACAGUAGCAGUGUUAUGUUGAGGAAAGUUUUCCACUCUCGGCUCUUGCAUUUCUUCAAAUCCCACCCUGGGACUUCUUCAAUGGGUUAAGGGCACGAGUAUACGAUGAUGAGGUGACGAAAUGAGUUUCAGGAAUUGGGGACAAAUUUCUGAGCUCUUAUAAUGAACCCCCGACUUUUGAGCAACCAAAAAUGACUACUGAGAAACUCCUUGAGUAUGGUAACAUGCUUGUUCAAGAAAAAUACUAAGAGUUUACAUUUGCACAUUGGAAAUCUCUGAAAACCUUUAUAACAGUAGUUGUCCCUUAAUCAAAAUGAUUGAUUAAGUGUAAGUUUUAUUUCAUUAUGAAAAAGAACUUGCCCAACGUGUAUGUGGUUUAUAACUCACUCGAGGGUAGAAUCAGGAAUCCCCUUAUUCCUCUUGUGCGCGCGCGGGGUGUGCGCGCGCGCGCGUUUAAUGAUUUUAACUACUGCUUGCACCAUGUGAGUUCAUUGUAGGAACUGCAAUAUUAGAAUUCAAACUCUCUCUCCAAGAUAAGAUAGGAUUUAGUUUAUCGUGCAUUUUAUCCCUUUAGCUCAAUGGAUUUUUUCAAAGUAAGCUGAGAUAUCCAUUAUAAACUAAAUUUGUAUCAUAUGUUUGAAAAUAUAUGUUCUAUGUUUUAUACAAUUAUUCAUUUGAUAUGCUUUAUGCAUAAUAAAUUGUUUCCAGUACCAUUAUAUUCA